GACGAACGCUGGCGGCGUGCUUAACACAUGCAAGUCGAACGGAAAGGCCCUGCUUUUGUGGGGUGCUCGAGUGGCGAACGGGUGAGUAACACGUGAGUAACCUGCCCUUGACUUUGGGAUAACUUCAGGAAACUGGGGCUAAUACCGGAUAGGAGCUCCUGCUGCAUGGUGGGGGUUGGAAAGUUUCGGCGGUUGGGGAUGGACUCGCGGCUUAUCAGCUUGUUGGUGGGGUAGUGGCUUACCAAGGCUUUGACGGGUAGCCGGCCUGAGAGGGUGACCGGCCACCUUGGGACUGAGAUACGGCCCAGACUCCUACGGGAGGCAGCAGUGGGGAAUAUUGCACAAUGGGCGGAAGCCUGAGGCAGCAACGCCGCGUGCGGGAUGACGGCCUUCGGGUUGUAAACCGCUUUCGCCUGUGACGAAGCGUGAGUGACGGUAAUGGGUAAAGAAGCACCGGCUAACUACGUG
rnacentral:rRNA from 1 species